UACGUAGGGUGCGAGCGUUAAUCGGAAUUACUGGGCGUAAAGCGUGCGCAGGCGGUUUUGUAAGCCAGAUGUGAAAUCCCCGGGCUCAACCUGGGAAUGGCAUUUGGGACUGCAAGGCUGGAGUACGGCAGAGGAGACUGGAAUUCCUGGUGUAGCAGUGAAAUGCGUAGAGAUCAGGAGGAAUACCGAUGGCGAAGGCAGGUCUCUGGGCUGAUACUGACGCUCAUGCACGAAAGCGUGGGGAGCGAACAGG
rnacentral:rRNA from 1 species